rnacentral:rRNA from 1 species
UACGUAGGGUGCGAGCGUUGUCCGGAAUUAUUGGGCGUAAAGCGCGUGUAGGCGGCUUGGCAAGUCGGGUGUGAAAGCCCUCAGCUCAACUGAGGAAGUGCGCCCGAAACUGCUUUGCUUGAGUGCUGGAGAGGGUCGCGGAAUUCCCCAAGUAGAGGUGAAAUUCGUAGAUAUGGGGAGGAACACCGGUGGCGAAGGCGGCGACCUGGACAGUAACUGACGCUGAGACGCGAAAGCGUGGGUAGCAAACAGG